rnacentral:rRNA from 1 species
UGCGUAGGGUGCAAGCGUUGUCCGGAAUUAUUGGGCGUAAAGAGCUCGUAGGCGGUUUGUCGCGUCUGCUGUGAAAUCUGGAGGCUCAACCUCCAGCCUGCAGUGGGUACGGGCAGCCUAGAGUGCGGUAGGGGAGAUUGGAACUCCUGGUGUAGCGGUGGAAUGCGCAGAUAUCAGGAAGAACACCGAUGGCGAAGGCAGAUCUCUGGGCCGUAACUGACGCUGAGGAGCGAAAGCAUGGGGAGCGAACAGG